CCACCAAGCACUUUUAACCAAAAAACAAGUUUUUCUUGUUGCUUUAGUUAAAUGUGUCCCUGAUGUAAGGUUUUUUUUUUUUUUUUUCCAAACAUGAGAACUUUAUACCACCUGUGUUACACUACACUGUGAUUUACUGUGUACAGAUCGGUGUCAAUGAAAUAAAGAAUAAAACUGUAUACUAGGCAAAGAACUUCGUUAACCUUUGUUUCAAACUUUAUUCACAGACUUCUUCGGCUUAAUUAGCUGCAAAGAAUGAAUUGCGUAUAAGCAAAAACUGAAAAGAGCUGUAGUGUCCAAGGGACUUGAGCUUAAAAAUAUUAGAGAUCUAGAUUUUAUCAGACCCAUAAACAAAAAUUUCUUAAAAAGCAGUC
rnacentral:lncRNA from 10 species